AGAUGUUAAAAGCAAGAAACAUGGGAGAGCAUCAUUCCUUUGAGAUUUUAUAACUCAAACCAACUUUGGAGUUGUCUGAUUUGGAGAGUCAUUAUUCUUGGUCUUCGCUCUUAGAGGCCACUGAUGAAGAACAGGCGGUUACUGGGAUGAAUGCUGGUCAGAGAGGAGAAUCUUCUUUCCCCUAAACUGAUGCAGCGGUGGUUUUAAAGGAGGACGCUGCCCUGGAUGGUGUAGAAGAUGUCAGAUGCUGUGCUGAUGGGGUUUCUUCAUGAUUACAUCAGUUAUGCUAAAGAGAUCAUGAAAAUUGACCGUGAUGCAUGAUCUGUAUUCAUGGACUAUGAAACAAACUGUAAGUGUAUAAUUAGUUAAAAAAAAAAAGUUAAAUGCUUUUUCUGUGUUGUUUAGUAGAAGAGUUUACACUCUGUCAUUCAUACACCUGCUCACAUUCUUUCACACACACACACACACACACACAUGCGUCUGUUAAAUGUUAUAAUAUCAAAGUUAAUGUUGUGAUUUAUUUGUGUACUGUCAUGCCAGAAUAGUUGGAAAAAAACCUAACUAAUUGUAAAUUUAUUGUAUGUGUUUUCGUAUAUUUAUAUACAAUUGAACAAAGUCCAAUUUGAUCUUAAGUUAUAUUCAUCAAAUGUUCAAUGCUUUGUUUAUGAACUCUGUAGCUGUUAAUGCCAUCCUUUUCUGCAUUUCUUCUAACAUGUUACUUUUUGACUUUUCUCUUGUUUUUAAUAAAUAUUUUCCUUUUGGUAAUUAUUA